AUUGAACGCUGGCGGCAUGCCUUACACAUGCAAGUCGAACGGUAACGGGCCUUCGGGUGCCGACGAGUGGCGAACGGGUGAGUAAUGUAUCGGAACGUACCUUUCAGUGGGGGAUAACGUAGCGAAAGUUACGCUAAUACCGCAUAGUCUGUGAGCAGGAAAGCAGGGGAUCGCAAGACCUUGCGCCGAUUGAGCGGCCGAUAUCAGAUUAGCUAGUUGGUGAGGUAAAGGCUCACCAAGGCGACGAUCUGUAGCGGGUCUGAGAGGAUGAUCCGCCACACUGGAACUGAGACACGGUCCAGACUCCUACGGGAGGCAGCAGUGGGGAAUUUUGGACAAUGGGGGCAACCCUGAUCCAGCCAUGCCGCGUGAGUGAAGAAGGCCUUCGGGUUGUAAAGCUCUUUCGGCCGGGAAGAAAUCGUAUCAGCUAAUACCUGGUGCGGAUGACGGUACCGGCAUAAGAAGCACCGGCUAACUACGUGCCAGCCGCCGCGGUAAUAC
rnacentral:rRNA from 1 species